CUUGUCCUCCUCCCUAAUUCUUCUCCACUUCGCAAACUUCAUUUCAUCAUAACUUUUUCAUACGGUAACGAAAUCGCGCAAGGUUGGAGCCUAUAGAUUGGUAUCAUAACCCUCUUCCAUCUAAUAUGACACCCACACCUCAAAAUCAACUGUGCUCAAAGAUUGGAGCCUAGAACAGUAACGGUUUCUGACGAAGUUUUGCUGAUUCCACUCAAUCCUGCCAAAAUUUGGUCUCAGCCCAAGAGAGAAAGAUGGUCCUCUCCUGAUGAUCUUUCUAUCUAUACUUGAGUUUGUUGAGUGAAUUGAAGGGAUUGUUAAUUGAAUUUGGAUAAUGAGGGAAUCUAGAAGAUCGGGGCAUGUUCUCAGCUCCGAUCUUUAUUUGAUUCAUUGUAGAUCCAAGAUUAUAAGAGUCAACUAUUAGUGUUUGGACAUGAUGGUCCUUACUUUGAUCGUGAAGUUGCACAGAUUAUUAUCAAAAUUGUAAUUGUAGAAAGAAGCAAACAACUUAUGCAUGAAGAUUUUGUACGGUACGAAGAACCAAUCAUGUUACCCUAUGUCUUUCCUGAAAUGCCUAUUUAAAUUUGUUCAUUUUUAAAAUGAGUCAAAGAAACCAUUUUUUGGAUCUUCCAACACAAAGGCCAUUGUCCUUGACAAAAUGUAAGUAAGAUUUAGUCCGAUGUCUUUUUAGACAUGGCUCUUAACAUAUUUGGAUGUUUAACUAUGCAGUGGUAUUUAAGCUAAAUGAUGACCACUUGAACUAGAUUCAGGAAAAUGUGAGUUUAGUGGAUACUGUGUUGCCAGAAUUUGGCAUUUAUGUUAAAUGCUGCUUUUCGUAUUUUAGUUUGUUUUUUUUUUGUUGUACUGAUUAUUGUGGCCGCUUGUAGGACAAUGUUCUGAUUGCCACAUUUGGUCAUAAAGGAAUGACGUUCUCAUUGCAGGAUUUGGUCGUAAAGGUAGAGCACAUUUGGGACCCCACAAUCUUUGUGUUCAACUUCCGGAUUUCCAGUCCAUAGUUGGGAGAUAACGAAUUUUCAAAUAUCAAAGUUUAUGAUUUUUGUUUGGCCAUCAUUGACGAAGUAAAGGUAACUCCGUUCUGGAUUUCAACAUCUGGGGUUUCAUUUAUAUUUAUGGAUCUUCCAAUGCAAAGGGCACUGUUCUUGAUCUAAAUGUCUUUUCCAUUAAAAAUCCUAACCAAUCAUUUUUA